rnacentral:rRNA from 1 species
GACGAACGCUGGCGGCGUGCUUAACACAUGCAAGUCGAACGGAAAGGCCCUGCUUUUGUGGUGUGCUCGAGUGGCGAACGGGUGAGUAACACGUGAGUAACCUGCCCUUGACUUUGGGAUAACUUCAGGAAACUGGGGCUAAUACCGGAUAGGAGCUCCUGCUGCAUGGUGGGGGUUGGAAAGUUUCGGCGGUUGGGGUUGGACUCGCGGCUUAUCAGCUUGUUGGUGGGGUAGUGGCUUACCAAGGCUUUGACGGGUAGCCGGCCUGAGAGGGUGACCGGGCACAUUGGGACUGGGAUACGGCCCAGACUCCUACGGGAGGCAGCAGUGGAGAAUAUUGCACAAUGGGCGGAAGCCUGAUGCAGCAACGCCGCGUGCGGGAUGACGGCCGUCGGGUUGUAAACCGCUUUCGCCUGUGACGAAGCGUGAGUGACGGUAAUGGGUAAAGAAGCACCGGCUAACUACGUG